rnacentral:rRNA from 1 species
GACAAAGGAUGCAAGCGUUAUCCGGAUUCAUUGGGUUUAAAGGGUGCGUAGGCGGACUGAUAAGUCAGUGGUGAAAUCUCUUUGCUUAACAAAGAAACUGCCAUUGAUACUGUCGGUCUAGAGUAUAGAUGACGUUGGCGGAAUAUGACAUGUAGUGGUGAAAUACUUAGAUAUGUCAUAGAACACCGAUUGCGAAGGCAGCUAACGAAACUAUAACUGACGCUGAGGCACGAAAAGUGCGGGGAUCAAACAGG